rnacentral:rRNA from 1 species
GACGAAGGUGGCGAGCGUUGUUCGGAAUCACUGGGCAUAAAGCGCACGUAGGCGGCGACGUAAGUUGGGUGUGAAAUCCCUCGGCCCAACCGAGGAACUGCGCCCAGUACUGCGUUGCUUGAGGAUCCAAGGGGUGCAUGGAAUUCCCGGUGGAGCGGUGAAAUGCGCAGAUAUCAGGAGGAACACCGGUGGCGAAGGCGGGUCUCUGGGUAGUAACUGACGCUGAGGAACGAAAGCGUGGGUAGCGAACAGG